rnacentral:rRNA from 1 species
AAUGAACGCUGGCGGCAGGCUUAACACAUGCAAGUCGAACGAGUGGCGGACGGGUGAGUAAUGCGUGUGACUCUCGCUCCUGGAGGGGGAUAACUACGGGACACUGUAGCUACUACCGCGUACCACAGGUAGAGCUAGAGGGGGAUUGGGUAGUGGGUUUGGUAAAGGCACGCCAAGCCGACGAUCUCUAGCUGGGCUGAUAGGAUGACCAGCCACACUGGGACUGAGACACGGCCCAGACUCCUACGGGAGGCAGCAGUGGGGAAUAUUGCGCAAGGGGGGCAACCUGACGCAGCCAUGCCGCGGGAAUGAAGAAGGCCUUCGGGUUGUAAAGUUCUUUCGGUAGCAAGGCGUUAACUACAGAAGAAGCACCGGCUAACUCCGUGCCAGCAGCCGCGGUAAUUC